GACGAACGCUGGCGGCGUGCUUAACACAUGCAAGUCGAACGGAAAGGCCCUGCUUUUGUGGGGUGCUCGAGUGGCGAACGGGUGAGUAACACGUGAGUAACCUGCCCUUGACUUUGGGAUAACUUCAGGAAACUGGGGCUAAUACCGGAUAGGAUCUCCUGCUGCAUGGUGGGGGUUGGAAAGUUUCGGCGGUUGGGGAUGGACUCGCGGCUUAUCAGCUUGUUGGUGGGGUAGUGGCUUACCAAGGCUUUGACGGGUAGCCGGCCUGAGAGGGUGACCGGCCACAUUGGGACUGCGGUACGGCCCAGACUCGUACGGGAGGCAGCGGGGGGGAAUAUUGCACAAUGGGCGGAAGCCUGAUGCGGCAGCGCCGCGUGCGGGAUGACGGCCUUCGGGUUGUAAACCGCUUUCGCCUGUGACGAAGCGUGAGUGACGGUAAUGGGUAAAGAAGCACCGGCUAACUACGUG
rnacentral:rRNA from 1 species